AUGAUGUGUGCAUGUGGUUUGGGGGGGUGUCUGUGUGUGUCCACGUGUGUCUGUAUGUUUGCAUGCAUAUAUGGUGUGUGUUUAUGUGUGUAUCUGUGUGUGGUGUAUCUAUGUUUGUAUAUGUGUGGCAUGUGUGUGUCUAUGUAUGUAGUGUGUGCAUGUGGUAUGUGGGGAUGUCUGUAUACAUAUGUAUGCAUAUUUAUGUACCUGUGUGUGUGGUGUAUGUAUUUGUGUGUGUGGUGCGUUUGUGUGGCAUAUGUGUGUGCAUCUAUGUGUGGUGUGUAUUUGUAUACUUGUGUGUAUGCAUAUCUGUGGGUGUAUACCUGUGUAUAUCUGCAUGUAUAUGUGUGUGUAUGGUGUGUGUACGUGUACCUGUGUGUUUGUGUGUGGUGUGUGUGUGUCUCUGUAAGCAGACGUCUUUGUCCUUUCAUUUUUCAGAUCUUACGCUCUCAAUGUGAAAAUGACCUUUUAUUAUUAACCAGCUUGGUCAUCGUUUUCCCCCUUUUGGGUCACGGUAUGCAGAACUGGUUUUCCAUCUUGCUGGCAUCCAUGGCAGUUAGCCCUUCCCCAGCGGAUUUGGACAUGACACCACCACUCCCAUCUCAGACCACCUGCAAUUGGCUCUGUGAUAGAUGCCACCAUUGCCACAGUAAAAAUAAAACAAUGGAGAGGCCAUUACUUAGGUCCCUGAAGCCCAAAACAGGCCAGUACACUUUUCCCUAUGCCUUCACGAGAGCCAAGCGCCUCCACUCACGGUGGAAGAUCUGCCUCUCCUGCACAACCCAAAGCAGGAUCCCUGCCCCUGCCCCUCUGGGGCAUGCAGAGGGUGGGAGGGCACUGAGCAGCACCCGCUUCACACCCAUGGGUGCUUUCUCAUGGAACUUGGGCUUGCCAGGACUGCCUGUUCUCCUUCAGACAGCGUCUGCCCUGCCGCAGCUUGGACUGAGAAAGCAGCCAAGCGGGAAGCGGGCUUUGAGCCUCGAGACAGACUCCAUCUCUCUUGUUUCUCAGUGGUCUCCUGCUGCGUGGUCUGAAGGAGGGGCACCAGCCCAAUGA
rnacentral:lncRNA from 1 species